GAGGAGCUCAGUACAGGUGAAAACCCCGAGGAGUGUACUGCACGUGAUCCCUUUAACGCAGUGCCAGUGUAACAAGGAGGGAAACUUUCGCAUUAAGGAACAGAUGUUGGAAGAACGCGGGAGACAGGACGGGAAAUAAAACCUCCGAACAACAAACGCAGGAAAUAGAA